rnacentral:lncRNA from 1 species
CCGCCUCCCAUCUAGAAACGCGUCGACAAGAGGAGGAAAACGCCAAACGAAGCUGACGGUGUGGCGAUUAACUUAAAAUAGAGCAGGGUUUGCUGGUGUUUUUGUGUAACCCUGAAGAUACCCUGGAUCCUGAAAUAUUCAGUAGAAAAGCCAUCCACAUUGAUCCUGGCAAAAGCAUCACUGCUUUGAGAAGAAGACCUGUUGACUUCACUUUCCCAAGUCUUUCUGUUGGUGGUGGGAAGAAGCUUACCUGCAUUACUGGUUCUCUUCCAGCCAGGUCUGGAUAUCAGACGUGUGAGAGUGAUUUGCCCCCUUUAUCAUUCCUGCUGAAAAAUCCAAAUCAGGAUCUGCUUCUUCUGCUAGUAGCUGGUUUCAGAUUGUCUUUGAUGGUCAAUGUGGAUGAAAAGCUGGUCACCCAGAUGAAAACUUAACCUGUACUGGUAAGCAAGUUGUUGAACUAUUUACAUGCAAACAGAUCCUGCUGGUUGAUCAGUUUGAGUUCAUCUUGUCUACACACAUGAUCAACUUGUCCAAGUUUGGUCAGCCAAAACCAGCUUAAACUGUUUUAAGAUGCUCUUUUUUC